GAUGAACGCUAGCUACAGGCUUAACACAUGCAAGUCGAGGGGAAACGAUAUUGGAAGCUUGCUUCCGAUAGGCGUCGACCGGCGCACGGGUGAGUAACGCGUAUCCAACCUGCCCGCCACUUGGGGAUAACCUUGCGAAAGUAAGACUAAUACCCGAUGAUAUCUCUAGAAGACAUCUGAAAGGGAUUAAAGAUUUAUCGGUGAUGGAUGGGGAUGCGUCUGAUUAGCUUGUUGGCGGGGUAACGGCCACCAAGGCUACGAUCAGUAGGGGUUCUGAGAGGAAGGUCCCCCANAUUGGAACUGAGACACGGUCCAAACUCCUACGGGAGGCAGCAGUGAGGAAUAUUGGUCAAUGGACGGGAGUCUGAACCAGCCAAGUAGCGUGCAGGAUGACGGCCCUAUGGGUUGUAAACUGCUUUUAUAAGGGAAUAAAGUGAGUCUCGUGAGACUUUUUGCAUGUACCUUAUGAAUAAGGACCGGCUAAUUCCGUG
rnacentral:rRNA from 1 species